UACGUAGGGUGCGAGCGUUAAUCGGAAUUACUGGGCGUAAAGUGUGCGCAGGCGGCCGCGCAAGUCGAGUGUGAAAGCCCCGAGCUUAACUUGGGAAUUGCGCUCGAAACUACGUGGCUGGAGUGUGGCAGAGGAAGGUGGAAUUCCAGGUGUAGCGGUGAAAUGCGUAGAGAUCUGGAGGAAUACCGAUGGCGAAGGCAGGUCUCUGGGCUGACACUGACGCUCAUGCACGAAAGCGUGGGGAGCAAACAGG
rnacentral:rRNA from 1 species